UGACCGUGCGAAGGUAGCAUAAUCAUUAGUCUUUUAAUUGAAGGCUUGUAUGAAUGGUUGGACGAGAAGUAAUCUGUCUCUGUUGAAAAAAUUGAAUUUAACUUUUAAGUGAGAAGGCUUAAAUGAUCUAGAGGGACGAUAAGACCCUAUAAAGUUUAAUAUUAUAACAAUAGAAAAUUAAUUGGGUUGUAAGGUUUAUUAUUGUAGGUAGUAUUUUGUUGGGGCGACAAGAAUAUAAAUAAUUUAACUGUUCUUUUUUGUAUCAAAGAUAUUUGAGUUGAUGAUCUUUUUAAGAGUAUUAGAGUAAAUUACUUUAGGGAUAACAGCGUAAUUUUUUUUUGAGAGUUCCUAUCGACAAAAGAGUUUGCGACCUCGAUGUUGAAUUAAAGAUUCUUUAUAGUGCAGAAGUUAUAAAAGAAGGUCUGUUCGACCUUUAAAUCUUUACAUGAUUUGAGUUCAGACCGGUGUGAGCCAGGUUGGUUUCUAUCUA
rnacentral:rRNA from 1 species